GGGCCGGCCCUGCUGCUCAGCUGCUCUGUCUUUGCUCGUGGAUCAUCAGCGGACCAGACAGUUUAGAGCCAAGGGCGACGCGUAAACUAUCACCAGAUCCAAUCCUCAACCCGAUCGUCGCUUCGCCUUGCUGGGAGUGGAGCCCAUUUUUUUUUUUGGUCUCUGCGUCUGCGAGAACAGUCGAUCUCGCUCUCUGUCAAGCUUGAUCCGGUAUACGGAGUACUGAUAGAGAGUGCGUGGAUUGGGCUCCAAAACUUGCGAACUUCCACGGGACCGUGAGCUGGCGACGUUGGUCCAGGAAAAUACAAUACGUGGAUGGGAUUUGUGAGCUGGAGUGCUUAGCCUGUGCCUUGUCCUUGUCGGGACAUCAUCCGGACAUAUAGCAAGUUGAUGCGGCCAUUCGUCCUCCCAAAAAAAAAAAGAGAGGAAGUGUGGCAAUUCGGGGUGGUAGGUAGGUUGCGGACUCAUAACAAGUCCUCUUGGUGAUAUAAAACUACUAAGCAUUAGGCCCUCUGUUGCUGUCAAGCGAACUAUGUAUAAAGAAUCCUUUGCUGCGAAAGAAAAAUGGACAGCGCCUUUUUUUUUUGCCCUUUCGGGGUUUAAUUUCCUAUAUAUUAAAGCAGGUCCAAAACGUCCACGACUAGGCUAUCCACGUCGUUCAAAAAAAAUUCAGUCGUUCGAUCGUCGCUGGACGGCUCAAAUUGCUCCUCUGCUCCCUCCGUCUCUAGAAACUUCCCUCUGCCUCUGGAUACUUCAGUUUGAUAUGCUUAGCUGGUGGAUGCCUAUCCUCGCUUCUUCCGCCCCGUCUUUCUUCCUUCUCACUCCAUCCCCGUCGUCUCUCUCCCAGUCGCUUUGCGUCGUCAUGGCGCCGAUCGAGUGCACUAUGCACGUCGGCGCCGUGAAAGUCGGCGUGGGCGCCUCCGUGGCCGCCGACGAAGACGACGCUCGCCAAGCGCGGGUUGACGACCACUUGGGUUUCGAGGUGCCUGCCGUACGUGCAGGACGACGGCAGGCGUAUCACUCACCGGCACACACUCCCGUGCACGCUAAAUGCAGUAGCCGGUGCCAUCUCGGGGCUCUGGGUGUUCGCGCAGGGAGAGGCGACCACCGCGGCGGCAUCAUCUUCUUCUCAUAGUUUGGUUGCAAGGCCAUAGCUUUUGCCCUCUGCUUUUUUAGUGUGGUUGUCUAUUAUCUGGGAUGCAGUAAGAUUUGAUAAGAAAGGGGAAUGGGCUCACCAUUACAAAAGCUGGUAUCCUUCCUAUGUUUGUUCGUAUUUUUAUGUGCUUCAUUGUUUUAUUUUUUUCUCGUAGCCUGUCUGUGUCUCCUUCGCCACAUAGAUGCUGCGACGGCGACGCCUACCUUUGUCUUCUCCAGUUUGUAGUGUGCCCACUUGCUUUGUUUGUUUACGCUUCCACACUUUUCCCUCUUCUCUUCUUGUUUCCUCAUCCUCUCUGGAAUCCCUUUGUGGAUCACGGCGGCUCCAAACAACUGAUUGGGUGAGUUUGUGUUGUAUUCGGAAUUUUGCCAAAAAAAAGUCUUGCUACCCCAUUUCGUUUCUAGCUGAUCUGGUCAGAGGAUGGUUUCUGUUUUUUAUUUUUAGUUUUCCCAGAUUUUCUCCUAUUUUCCCUUCUUUAAUAGUUCCUUUAGAUCUCUUCCUGCAGACAAAGCGUAUGAAAAGCAGCGUGCAACCAAUUAAUUGAUACGGAGGUAUGUUUUGUUAAAGCCUCAGCUCCAACAUACUUUUCAAGAAUACUGCAUCAUUGGUGGCAUCACCAGUGAUGGCGUCCGAUCCUUGAAUUAAUUGCACAUGAUGUGAUAAGAGUAAGCGUCACUAGAGAAUGGGAAUUCCAAGGCGCGACAAAUGAUAGUCCUCUUCGUCAUGUCAACAUGAUCAUAUCUGAUGAACUGGUGAUCUAUAUCCACUGAAAUACAUUUAUGGUAUAGCAACAUGUUGUACCAAAUAUGUUUUUUAUCACCUGUUAAUAUUGAUGUCAGCUGUACAAAUGGUUCUGAUUACUUAUAUCCUCUCAUGUACUUCUACUCAGCACCAUGUUCUAACUUACACAUUGCUUAGUCACCUCUCCAGAUUGUACCUUUACUCUUUUAAACUAAUAUGUUUAUUACUAAUUUUUUUA